rnacentral:snoRNA from 11 species
GAACUUGGUACAGAGGCAGCCCAACAUAUACUGCAUUAAAGAAGUCCAAUUUUGAGAUUACCAGCACAUGCACUACCAUCUUUAAGUCU